AUUGAACGCUGGCGGCAUGCCUUACACAUGCAAGUCGAACGGCAGCACGGAGCUUGCUCUGGUGGCGAGUGGCGAACGGGUGAGUAAUAUAUCGGAACGUACCCUAGAGUGGGGGAUAACGUAGCGAAAGUUACGCUAAUACCGCAUACGAUCUAAGGAUGAAAGUGGGGGAUCGCAAGACCUCAUGCUCGUGGAGCGGCCGAUAUCUGAUUAGCUAGUUGGUAGGGUAAAAGCCUACCAAGGCAUCGAUCAGUAGCUGGUCUGAGAGGACGACCAGCCACACUGGAACUGAGACACGGUCCAGACUCCUACGGGAGGCAGCAGUGGGGAAUUUUGGACAAUGGGCGAAAGCCUGAUCCAGCAAUGCCGCGUGAGUGAAGAAGGCCUUCGGGUUGUAAAGCUCUUUUGUCAGGGAAGAAACGGUGGGAGCUAAUAUCUCUUGCUAAUGACGGUACCUGAAGAAUAAGCACCGGCUAACUACGUGCCAGCAGCCGCGGUAAUACGUAGGGUGCAAGCGUUAAUCGGAAUUACUGGGCGUAAAGCGUGCGCAGGCGGUUUUGUAAGUCUGAUGUGAAAUCCCCGGGCUCAACCUGGGAAUUGCAUUGGAGACUGCAAGGCUAGAAUCUGGCAGAGGGGGGUAGAAUUCCACGUGUAGCAGUGAAAUGCGUAGAUAUGUGGAGGAACACCGAUGGCGAAGGCAGCCCCCUGGGUCAAGAUUGACGCUCAUGCACGAAAGCGUGGGGAGCAAACAGGAUUAGAUACCCUGGUAGUCCACGCCCUAAACGAUGUCUACUAGUUGUCGGGUCUUAAUUGACUUGGUAACGCAGCUAACGCGUGAAGUAGACCGCCUGGGGAGUACGGUCGCAAGAUUAAAACUCAAAGGAAUUGACGGGGACCCGCGCAAGCGGUGGAUGAUGUGGAUUAAUUCGAUGCAACGCGAAAAACCUUACCUACCCUUGACAUGGCUGGAAUCCUUGAGAGAUCAGGGAGUGCUCGAAAGAGAACCAGUACACAGGUGCUGCAUGGCUGUCGUCAGCUCGUGUCGUGAGAUGUUGGGUUAAGUCCCGCAACGAGCGCAACCCUUGUCAUUAGUUGCUACGAAAGGGCACUCUAAUGAGACUGCCGGUGACAAACCGGAGGAAGGUGGGGAUGACGUCAAGUCCUCAUGGCCCUUAUGGGUAGGGCUUCACACGUCAUACAAUGGUACAUACAGAGCGCCGCCAACCCGCGAGGGGGAGCUAAUCGCAGAAAGUGUAUCGUAGUCCGGAUUGUAGUCUGCAACUCGACUGCAUGAAGUUGGAAUCGCUAGUAAUCGCGGAUCAGCAUGUCGCGGUGAAUACGUUCCCGGAUCU
rnacentral:rRNA from 1 species